AACGAACGCUGGCGGCAUGCCUAACACAUGCAAGUCGAACGAGACCUUCGGGUCUAGUGGCGCACGGGUGCGUAACGCGUGGGAACCUGCCCUUAGGUUCGGAAUACCUCCCCGAAAGGGGUGCUAAUACCGGAUAAUGUCUUCGGACCUAAGAUUUCUCGCCUUUGGAUGGGCCCGCGUUGGAUUGGCGAGUUGGUAGGGUACAAGCCUGCCAAGGCGACGAUCCAUAGCUGGUCUGAGAGGAUGAUCAGCCACACUGGCACUGAGACACGGCCCAGACUCGUACGGAAGGGAGGAGUGGGGAAUAUUGGACAAGGGGCGAAGGCCUGAUCCAGCAAUGCCGCGUGAGUGGUGAAGGCCGUAGGGUUGUAAAGCUCUUUUACCCGGGAUGAUAAUGACAGUACCGGGAGAAGAAGCACCGGCUAACUCCGUG
rnacentral:rRNA from 1 species